UUUCCGUAGGUGAACCUGCGGAAGGAUCAUUAGUGAAUAUUAGGGCGUCUACUUCGGUAGGGCCUGACCUCCACUUUCUAACUCUGUGCACUUAUUUGGCGGAAAGGGAAUUAGUAAUCUGUCUAAUGACGAUUGCGACUUCUUACUUUCUGCGGCUUACUUUAAACACUAGUCAAAGUAUGUGACGAAAUAUCGAAACAAAUAAAAACUUUCAACAACGGAUCUCUUGGCUCUC
rnacentral:misc_RNA from 1 species